rnacentral:tRNA from 1 species
UCCCUCGUGGCUCAGAUGAUAGAGAAUCUGCUUGCAAUGCUGGAGACCCAGGUUCGACCCCUGCCUUGGGAA